rnacentral:rRNA from 1 species
GCGGCAUGCUUUACACAUGCAAGUCGAACGGUAACAGGGUGCUUGCACCGCUGACGAGUGGCGAACGGGUGAGUAAUGCGUCGGAACGUGCCGAGUAGUGGGGGAUAACGCAGCGAAAGUUGUGCUAAUACCGCAUACGUACUGAGGUAGAAAGUGGGGGACCUUCGGGCCUCACGCUAUUCGAGCGGCCGACGUCUGAUUAGCUAGUAGGUGAGGUAAUGGCUCACCAAGGCGACGAUCAGUAGCUGGUCUGAGAGGAUGAUCAGCCACAUUGGGACUGAGACACGGCCCAAACUCCUACGGGAGGCAGCAGUGGGGAAUAUUGGACAAUGGGCGCAAGCCUGAUCCAGCCAUGCCGCGUGAGUGAUGAAGGCCUUAGGGUUGUAAAGCUCUUUCGCUAGGGAAGAUAAUGACGGUACCUAGAGAAGAAGCCCCGGCUAACUUCGUGCCAGCCGCCGCCGUAAAAC